rnacentral:rRNA from 1 species
CAAUAAGCGGAGGAAAAGAAACCAACUGGGAUUGCCCUAGUAACGGCGAGUGAAGCGGCAACAGCUCAAAUUUGAAAUCUGGCGCCUGCGCCCGAGUUGUAAUUUGCAGAGGAUGCUUCCUGCGCGGUGCCUUCCGAGUUCCCUGGAACGGGACGCCAAAGAGGGUGAGAGCCCCGUACGGUCGGCAACCAAGCUAUUGUGUGGCACCUUCGACGAGUCGAGUAGUUUGGGAAUGCUGCUCUAAAUGGGAGGUAAACUCCUUCUAAAGCUAAAUAUUGGCCAGAGACCGAUAGCGCACAAGUAGAGUGAUCGAAAGAUGAAAAGCACUUUGAAAAGAGAGUCAAACAGCACGUGAAAUUGUUGAAAGGGAAGCGCUUGUGACCAGACUUGGGCCUGGUAGUUCAGCCGUCCUUCUGGGCGGUGCACUCUGCCGGUUCAGGCCAGCAUCAGUUGUCGGUUGGGGAGAAAGACGACGGGAAUGUGGCUCUUCGGAGUGUUAUAGCCCGGCGUUAUGCCCUCCCGGCGACUGAGGACUGCGCAUCUGCACGGAUGCUGGCGUAAUGGUCAUCAGCGACCCGUCUUGAAACACGGACCAAGGAGUCAUCCUGGCAUGCGAGUGUUUGGGUGUUAAACCCCUACGCGAAAUGAAAGUGAACGGAGGUGAGAGCUUCGGCGCAUCAUCGACCGAUCCUGAUGUUCUCGGAUGGAUUUGAGUAAGAGCAUGUCGGGCUGGACCCGAAAGAAGGUGAACUAUGCUUGGAUAGGGCAAAGCCAGAGGAAACUCUGGUGGAGGCUCGCAGCGGUUCUGACGUGCAAAUCGAUCGUCAAAUCUAAGCAUGGGGGCGAAAGACUAAUCGAACCUUCUAGUAGCUGGUUUCCGCCGAAGUUUCCCUCAGGAUAGCAGUGCUGAUCUCAGUUUUAUGAGGUAAAGCGAAUGAUUAGGGACUCGGGGGCGCUAUUUAGCCUUCAUCCAUUCUCAAACUUUAAAUAUGUAAGAAGCCUUUGUUGCUUAAGUGAACGAAGGCAUUAGAAUGUACAGCACUAGUGGGCCAUUUUUGGUAAGCAGAACUGGCGAUGCGGGAUGAACCGAUCGCGAGGUUAA